rnacentral:rRNA from 1 species
ACUCCUACGGGAGGCAGCAGUGGGGAAUAUUGCACAAUGGGGGAAACCCUGAUGCAGCCAUGCCGCGUGUGUGAAGAAGGCCUUGGUUGUAAAGCACUUUCAGUAGGGAGGAAGGUAGUGUAGUUAACACCUGCAUUAUUUGACGUUACCUACAGAAGAAGCACCGGCUAACUCCGUGCCAGCAGCCGCGGUAAUACGGAGGUGCGAGCGUUAAUCGGAAUUACUGGGCGUAAAGCGCAUGCAGGCGGCCUGUUAAGUCAGAUGUGAAAGCCCGGGGCUUAACCUCGGAAUUGCAUUUGAAACUGGCAGGCUAGAGUCUUGUAGAGGGGUUAGAAUUUCAGGUGUAGCGGUGAAAUGCGUAGAGAUCUGAAGGAAUACCGAGUGGCGAAGGCGGCCCCCGUGGACAAA